AGUUACUACUUUAUUGUCAUUACUACAAGUUGUAUAAUACCGGCGCUUGCGCGAGAGAGUUAACUUGUUUUACUUAAACCAUUUUAUUUGAAUAGAAAAAUAUUGUUUUCAAGACUCAGGAUAUAAUGGAUUCUACAAAUAAUAAAAACAAACCUAAGAUUGGUACCGAACAGGCGCCAGCUGCGAGCUACAAUCCAUGGAAUUUACUUUUUAGGCCAAGAAAUCGUACAGAGAGUGAGACCAGUACUACUAGCAACCCGCAGAAUUACCAACCAGGUACCCAAUUUGGAGGCUUGCAGAGGCAGACAAGCAAGUCAAACGAGGAAUAUGGAUGAUGUAAGUGGCGUUCCUAGCCGCACGCAUGCCGACAGCUUGGGAAACACUGCGACCGAAGACGCGACACGGAUCAAUUAGUUGUUACACUAAUUUUAAUACUAUAUAAUUAUGAACUGUUUGGAAACCGGCCGAAAUACAGCGUGAAAUGAUAAUGUUGGACCAAGUUGCGUUCGUGCCCACCUGGUUUUUGAUGUCGUGGCUGGGCGCUUGCAUACUGUUUAGCCCUUUCGCAAUAUUUUUUGUGGUAUGCCUGCCGCAACUGCCGCUGUUAGUCGUGAGGAGGCUCUGUCAUGUACCGUUCGAGUAUAUUUGACACGCAGCCCUGCCGGCACGGCAGCGAGUGAGAUGCAAACUGUUCGGGUUAUGAGUGAUGGAUCUACAAGUUAUAAUUAUAGUGGCUAAGUGUGUAAAAAAUUGUAAAUAGCUAUUAAGUAUGAAUAAACAUAAUUUUAUAUCA